rnacentral:rRNA from 1 species
AUUCCAGCUCCAAUAGCGUAUAUUAAAGUUGUUGCGGUUAAAAAGCUCGUAGUUGGAUUUCUGCUGAGGAUGACUGGUCCGCCCCCUGGGUGAGUAUCUAGACUAUCCUUGGCAUCUUCCUGAAGAACGUAGCUGCACCUGACUGUGUGGUGCGGUAUUUAGGACAUUUACUUUGAGAAAAUUAGAGUGUUCAAAGCAGGCGUUUGCUUGAAUAUAUUAGCAUGGAAUAAUGGAAUAGGACGCUGGUUCUAUUUUGUUGGUUUUGAGAACCAGAGUAAUGAUUAAUAGGGACAGUUGGGGGCAUUCAUAUUUCAUUGUCAGAGGUGAAAUUCUUGGAUUUAUGAAAGAUGAACUUCUGCGAAAGCAUUUGCCAAGGAUGUUUUCAUCA